rnacentral:rRNA from 1 species
ACUCGAUAAUCCACGUAUACUCAACCUUCUCUAGAUAUUCAGCAUGUGUACUGCCGUUGUAAGCAUACCUCUAAAAGCAAGUAUGCCAUAAUGACUAAUAACUCACAUACAUCAGGUCAAAGUGCAGCCAAUAGGAAGGUGAUGAUGGGUUACAACCUCAAAACAGACUAUCAACCAAGAAAUUAAAAAUCUUGUGAAAGUGGACUUGGCCGUAAUCUAUUUUCAAGUCAAAAAAAUGAAUAAGUACCUAAGAUAUGUACACAUCGCCCGUCAUUCUACCCUAAAGGGUAGACAAGUCGUAACAAAGUAGGCGUAAUGGAAAUUGCGCCUGUCGGAGUAUAGCAUAUAUAAUGCUUUUUACUUACACUAAAAAUAAAGUUAAACACUUACUUCGCCUAAAACUAUUAAUCUUUAAAAUAAUAUAUAAAUCAAAGUUACAAAAUAAAGUACAGAAAUGGAAAAUAUAUUUAAUAAAAGUAAAUCUUGACAAUUGUACCUUGUGCAUUAUGGUUUUACAAGAAAUUAGUUAAAAACAUUGAUCCCGAAUUCUAAAUGAGAUGUUAAACUGCUGUUAAGAACCCAUUAAUAACUGUAGAAAAAGCUUUAAAAGACUGUUUAACAGGGGCUACAUACCAUCCGCAUAAGAAUAUAUCUGGUUUUCAACAAACAUUAUUCAUUAAAACAUAUAAUUAAAUUAUAUUGUAAUAUUAUUGAGGAUAAGCCCAAUAAUUAAAGCAAUCUAAACAAAAGUCUAUUUUAUUAGUUAGGCCUAAAAUCAGCCAACUAAAGUGCUUUAUCGCAAUAAAUAACGACAUAAUAAAUAUACUAACAUGCUAAAUAAAGUUGAAAUAGUGAACAAACUACAUAACUCACACAUACUAUGUAAAAAUAAGUAUUAUACAACUACAUAAAUCACAUACACGUAACUAACAUCAAAUAAAACAACUAUAACUAAUUAAGGAACUCGGCAAACCACUAUUUCGACUGUUUAACAAAAACAUUGUCUCAUGUACUAAAUAUGAGAU